AGGUCCUUAGCUCUAUGGUGGAUCAUUUUACUACAGAUCAAGAAGUCACCAGUUCGAACCUGGUAAGGCCUU
rnacentral:tRNA from 1 species